rnacentral:rRNA from 1 species
UACGGGGGGGGGCAAGCGUUGUUCGGAAUUACUGGGCGUAAAGGGCUCGUAGGCGGCCAACUAAGUCAGACGUGAAAUCCCUCGGCUUAACCGGGGGAAGUGCAUCCGAAACUGGCAGGCUAGAGUACGAAAGAGGGUCGCGGAAUUCCCGGUGUAGAGGUGAAAUUCGUAGAUAUCGGGAGGAACACCGGUGGCGAAGGCGGCGACCUGGGUCGAUACUGACGCUGAGGUGCGAAAGCGUGGGGAGCAAACAGG